rnacentral:lncRNA from 1 species
GAAUACCCGCUUUAAGGGUAUGCCGCUAGAUGGCGUGGGGGUGAAAGCAGUCCUUCUAAAGUCUCGCACAAUCUCGCUUGAAUGCUUUACACCAGAGUUUAACAUGGAGCGUGUGCACGCGUCGCUGACAGUGAACCAACUCAAACGCAAUUUACUUGAAUGUGGUGCCAUAACAUCUGGAUGAAAAUGUGAAUUGACUGAAAGGUUACCCAAAGAAGGCCCAUAUAUUGGGGGCAAAGCCUGAAGCUGUCGAUUUCAGGACUCCAGGACAGUCAACUUCAAGAGCAGGAUAAAAUGAUUACUUCAGGAAUCUUACCUAUCACUUCACAUCAGCGGUAAAGAUUGAUGUAGCCACCAGUUAUGCCUACCCUAAAGCUGACUUACAGGCGGCUGUGAUGGACAACAACUAUUUCCAAGUGCCAUGAAAGAAUAAAGCAUGGAUAGAGGGAAUGAUGUUGAGGAACAAACAGCGAACACUGAGCAUAGCAAGUUAUAACAAGGAAAGAGCGCAAUCUGACACAAGGAGAGACAAUGGCGGAUCACUGCUUCCAGAUUUGGAGAGAUAAUUGCAGCUACAGAGAAGAAGUAUAUAAACAAAAUGUAUGAAUCAUUGUUGUGUCCAAAACCAUUCCAGACACAUGACAGUCGGACCCGGACCUGAUUUCCCCUUUUGGAAUGUGUAUCUCGUGCACGAAUUUGGGCCUAAAGAAAACCCGCAAAUACUAUACUCAGUUAGAAGGCCAGAUGUUCAUUACAAAUCGCCCAUUCUGCUAUUUUGUUGUGUUUACAUUCAAAGAUCUGU